GGCAAGCCAAGCUGUGAGGAGUCUGUGGGUCAUGGCUUUGGCAGCGUGGAACCUGGGACAUAGAGUCCCCCUUGAUACGGCUGUUCAGCAGACCAACUUUGUUGUAAAUAUUUAGAUAAAAAUGGGCUUUAGAGCAGCCACAUCUGAAGACCCACAAGGCUGAAUGUUACACAGGGAGGAACAGCUCUGCUUGUUCAGGACAUCAUGGCCAACUCACAGUCCCCUGACCCAGGACCAAUUUGAGGCCAUCACUUCCUGCCUUGUUCUGGUUUACCUGGUGAUAUCACACACUAUCUGGCAGCGAAGAACUUCAUGUGCUCUGCUAGAACCAAUAUCUUCCCAUGACAAAGAUGUUUCUGCUGGUGCCCGUCCUGAGUGUGCUGGAAUACAUAUAACUAGGGAGUGCUGUAUGCCUUCAAACAACUAUCUUACAAUAUCUUCAAAGCUAAGCCUGAAAAUGAGGUAAAACCCCAAACAAAAGACUUGAUGGUGGAAGCAGAAGAUAUCUCCAGAGAUCAUUUAAAAAGGCUAACAACCGUGACAAUUAUCUCCUGGAUGUCCAUUUGUUCACAUCUUACUUCAUGCACAUGAUAGUCAGAUUGUGCACACUUGACAGAUCAUUCCAGAAGAGGCCACCUUGCCAACAAAGAGUCCCUCGGGAAUAUUCAGCCCUUAAAUCUUCACUGGGAUAGGAAUGCCUCAAGAUUUAGCAUUAGUCAUUCUCAACCAUGUAUUUGAAGAGGACUACUUAUUCUGACAGCAUGCUCUAAUUGAAGACACUGAAGUUGAAUUAAAAAUAUAAAGGGCCAACAAUUCCCUUUGGGUACUUAACAAGUCCUAAAUGGUAGAAAAGUAACCAACAGAGAAUUUAUAAUUCUGUUCAUAUGUUACUCUCUGGGGGAUUAUACAUUAUUAAAACUUAUUGAAAGGGAA
rnacentral:lncRNA from 1 species